GCCGCGGCGCAGGCGCAUUAGGGAGCCCGGGCUGACAGGCGGUUCCCUUUGAAGGAGAUGCGAUUGGUUCGCGCAGGCGCGUCGGUCCGAGCCGGGGGGAGUUCAGGCGGCAGUGUCGGCGUGAGGCCGGGACCAUGGGGAAACGGGACAACCGAGUGGCCUUUGUUAAUCCAGUAGCUCUUGCAAGAGCUCGUGGUCCUGCUCCAUCAUCAGGACCAUCGAUACAGGAUUAUUUAAGUCGACCAAGACCUACUUGGGAAGAAUUAAAAGAGCAGCUGGAAAAGAAGAAGAAAGGUUCUAAAGCCCUUGCAGAUUUUGAAGAGAAAAUGAAUGAGAAAUGGAGAAGAGAGCUUGAGAAAAACAGGGAGAAGGUACUUGGAAGUGAAAGUUCAUCUAAAAAGAAGGAGAAAAAACGAAAGGAAAAGAAGAAAAGUAGGCCGUCUUCAUCAUCUUCCUCCUCAUCAUCAAGUUCUGAUUCUUCCAGCAGUUCUUCGGACACCGAUAAUGAGGAUGAAAAGAAACAUGUUAAAAAGAAACGGAAGAGAAAGCAUACCACUGUGCGGAAACCCACAGAUGAUUUCCAAAUAAGUUGUGACGUCAAUAGUAAGGAAACCACAAAGAAAAAGAAAAAGAAAAUCAAAGAGGAAUCUGAAAAAGAACGAGAUAAAAAAAAGAAGAAACGGGAUCACACACCGCGAAGAACACCAGAGGAAUCUGGCUCUGCUGAAGAGAAUGAGACUGGGGAAAAAGUUAUCUUAAAGCUUUUGGAUGGAAUAUUGCUGCUGGGGACGCCAUUAUUCUGAAAAUGUCAUCUACUUUAUUACGCUGUAGCUGGGUUCAGCCUUUUCUCCUGAGUAAUCCAAAGCAGAGCUUGAAUUCCAGGGCUUGUCCUCAAUAAUGCCCUUGUGUCAGGUAAACCAUGUUCAUUUUCUGACAUGUACUGCACUUAGUCCAGAGGAGGUUCACGAGGAUGAUCCUGGGAAUGUAGGAGUUAACCUAUGAGGAGCAUUUGACAGCUUUGGGCCUAUACUCACCGGAACUUAGAAGAAUUCAAGGUGAUCUUAUUGAAACCUACCUAAUAUGAAAGGACUGGAUAGGGUGGAUGUGGAGAGGAUAUUUUCUAUAGUGGGAGGUAUCCAAAACCAGAGGGCACAGCUACAAAAUUGAGGGACGACCCUUUAGAACAGAGGUAAGGAAGAAUUUUUUUAGCUAGAGAGUAGUAACUCUGUGGUGGAGGCCAAGUCCGUACAUAAAUUUAAGGCGGAAGUUGAUUGCUUCCUGAUCGAUCAGGACAUCAAAGGAUAUGGUGAGAGGAUAGGUGUAUGGGGUUGAGUGGGAUUUGGGAUCAGCCAUGAUGGAAUGGCGGAGCAGGUUCAAUGGGUUGAUUGGCAUAAUUCUGCUCCUAUGUCCUAUGGUCUUAUUUCCCUGUCAUUUGAGUUUUCGCUCUGAUUAAGGAUUACCCCUCAUGAUUCUGCAUUGGGCAGAUAAACAGUUAAUAUCAGAAUCAGAUUUAUUAUCACUAACAUAUAUCAUGAAAUUUGUUGCAUCAGUGCAUUGCAAAACAUAUUAAAAAUCUAUAUGUUACAAUAAGAAAUAUAUUAAAUUAAGUAAUACAAAAAGAGAAAAGUAUUGAGGUAGUGUUCAUGGUUUCAUUGUCCAUUCAGAAAUCGGAGACGUUGGAAAGGAAGAAGCUGUUCCGUAAAUGCUUUGUUUCUCUUCAGGCAUGCUCCUGGGUGAUAGGGGUCCUUAAUGAUGGAAGCUGCCUUUUUGAGGCGUCACAUUUCGAAGGUGUCCUCGAUGCUAGGGAGGCUCAUGCCCAUGAUGGAGCUGGCUGAGUUUACAACUUCCUGCAGCUUUUCCAAUCCUGUGCAGUGACCCCUUCAUACUAGACAGUGAAUGUUACAGUAAAUUAGAAAAGAACUGCAGAUACUGGAAACCUAAAAUAAAGAGUGAUACAACCAGUUAGAAUGCUGUCCAGAUACAACUCACACACAACAUAUAAAGUAAUAUUACCACAGAUAACGAAAUGUUACAGAAGAUUGACGUUUAGCAAACAACGUCAGUUAAAGUGUAAGUAGUAUAACACUGCUGGCACUUCAUUCGUGAUGAGACUUGGGUGGUGGCAGGGAGUUCAGCAGUUUCAUGUCCUGGGGGAUGAAGCUGUGUCCAUCCUAUCAGUUAUUGUACAGUACCAAUGACUGAUGAUGGGGGAUGGUUCAAAGAGAUUUUUAUACAGAUGGAGGAUGGUUGGCAAUGCUGAAGGCCUUGUGUUAUACAGUGCUUCUGAUAAAUGAGUGAAAGAGUGGCCUUGAUGAUCCUCUCAGCAGUCAUCACAGUCCUUUGUAGGAACUUGCGGUCAGAUACUUUACAACUCCUGUACCAGACGGUAAUGUAGCUGGUCAGGAUAUUCUUUGGUGCUCCUGUAAAAAUUGAUUAGAAUAGGGGGAAGAGCUGAAUGUUUCUUUCUGUAGCUAUUGUUUUUUUAAAAAUUGAUCCAUUGGUGAAAAGUCUGUAAAUAUUGAAUUAAUCCUUUCCAACCUUUUGUCAUAAGAUUUGUGCUUCUUAGUAGUGAAUGCUUAUGUUUCCAAUGGCAGUGAGUUCCUGCAGUACCUUGUUUGACCUGUAUGUGUCAGUGUAAUCUGUUUUAGAGGUCAGUCUAGUACCAGCUCCACUAGUGUGUAAAACUGACAAAGCCACAGUUCCAGCAAGUGGCGAGAUUGGCUACCAGAGGAAAUUUUUUUCAGUGAAGCAGUUUGAACUUCAUUAGAAUCAGAAUCUGGUUUAUUAUCACUGACAUAUGCUGUGAAAUUUGUUAUUUUUUGGCAGGUGUACAGUGCAAUACUUAAAAUAUACUAUGAAUUAUAAUAAAUAUAAAGAAAUUAAAAGUGUAGUACAAAAAUAAUGAGGUGCUAUUCAUAAAUUAAUGAACAGUUCAUAAAUUUGAUGGUGGAGCGGAAGAAGCUGCUCAUAAAAUGUUGAAUGUACAUCAUCUUGCUCCUGUAUCACCACCUUGAGGGUAGCAUUGAGAAGAGGGUAUGACCUGGGUGAUGAAGUUCCUUAAUGACCGAUGACCCCUUCUUGAGGCAUUGUCAUUUGAAAAUGCCCUUGAUGUUGGGGAGGCUAGUGCCUUUGAAGCUGAAGUUUGGCAAAAACUCCUGACAUUGACUCCUGACCUCUAACUUGCUAAGGCCCAGCGCCAUCUCUCAGACGCCACCACCUUGUACCCCUUGAAUGGGACCCCAUUAAAGAACACCAGGACCAUCUCCUAUGCCAUCACCAACCUUGAAUCUGGGGAUCUCCCAUCCACCACCACCAACCUCAUAGUUCCUGCACCCCGCACCUCCUCUUUCUACCUCCUACUCAAGAUCCACAAACCCACUUGUCCAGAUAGACCCUUUAUUUCAGUUUGCUCCUGCCCCACUGAACUCAUCUGCAUAUCUCAACUCUGUUUCAUUUCACACCCCUACCCCCCAUUUCGGUCCCUUCCUACCUACAUCCAUGACACUUCACACGCUCUGGAUCUUUUCAAUAACUUCAGGUUCUCUGGCCCCCAUCAUCUUAUUUUUACUAUGAAUAUCCAAUCCCUAUGCACUUCCAUCCCCCACCAAGAAGGCCCUAAAACACUCCAUUUCUUUCCCAACCAGUUCCCCUCAACCACCAUUCCCCUCUGCCUAGCGGAACUUGUCCCUCACUCUAAGUAAUUUCUCCUUCAGCUCUUCCCACUUCCUUCAAACAAGAAGUGUAGCGUGGGCACUCACAUGGGCCCCAGCCAUGCCUACCUGUUUGUGAUUAUGUAUGUGGAGCAGUCUGUGUCCUAAGCCUACACUGGUGUCUGCCCCGCACUUUUCCCAUGCUACAUCAAUGACUGCAUUGGUGCUGCUUCCUACAUCCAUGUGGAUCUUGUCAACUUCAUCCGCUUUAUCCCCAGCUUCCACCCUGCCCUCAAAUUUAUCUGGUCCAGAACAGGUUAUUAUUUGAAUGGUAAAAGACUGCAACAUGCUGCUGUGCAGAGGGACUUGGGACUGCUUGUGCAUGAAUCACAAAAGGUUGGUUUGCAGGUGCAGCAGGCCAUCAAGAAGGCAAAUAGAGCGUUGGCCUUCAUUGCUAGAGGGAUUGAACUUAAGAGCAGGAAGGUUAUGCUGCAACUGUACAGGGUACUGGUGAGGCCACACCUGGAGUACUGCGUACAGUUCUGGUCUUCUUACUUGAGGAAGGAUAUAAUGGCUUUGGAGGCAGUGCAGAGGAGGUUCACCAGGUUGAUCCCAGAGAUGAGUGAGUUAGACGAUGAGGAGAGAUUGAGUCACCUGGGACUGUACUCGCUGGAAUUCAAAAGAAUGAGAGGAGAUCUUACAGAAACAUUAACAUUAUGAAAGGGAUUGGUAAGGUAGAGGCAGGGAAGUUGUUUCCACUGGUAGGUGAGACUAGAACUAGGGGACAUAGCCUUAAGAUUCGGGGGAGUAAAUUUAGGAUGGAGAUGAAGAGGAACUGCUUUUCCCAAGGAGUGGUGGAUCUGUGGAAUUCUCUGCUCAAUGAAGCAGUGGAGGCUAUCGCAGUAACUAUUCUUAAGACAAGGUUGGAUAGAUUUUUGCAUAAUAGGAGAAUUAAAGAUUAUGAGGAAAAGGAGGGUAGGUGGAACUGAGUCCAUGGUCAGAUGCAAAACGCACAUUGUAUCAGUACUGUUUAGAACUUGCACUUUGGGUAGUAUAUGAUAAUAGCUCUCAGAUCAUGGCAUGAAAUGUUCCUGUCUUCCCAUAAUAUGUAGUGAAAUUACAUUCAAUAAAUAAUGCAAAUUAUUUUUAUAAAUCAGAUAAUUUAUUCUCCUCCAAUGAAGAAAACAUACUAGUUUGCUUCAGUCUAUUCUUCUAUUUUCAAACUGCUGUCUGCUCUCUUCAACUUAAUUUGGUUAUUGUAGAGGGCAGAAAAGCCUAUGCAUUGACAUUUUUUAAAUAAUGCAUGUAUGUAAGUGUUUGUAAAAUAAAAUGCACUGUCUAGACCAUAAGACAUGGAAGCAGAAUUAGGCCAUUCAGCCCAUCGAGUCUGCUCCGCCAUUCCAUUAUGGCUGAUUCUGGAUUCCAUUCAACCCCAUACAUCUGCCCUCUCGCCAUAUCCUUUGAUGCCCUGACCAAUCAGAAAACUAUCAACUUCUGCUUUAAAUAUACCAGUGGACUUGGCCUCCACCGCUUUCUAUGGCAAGAGUAUUCCACAGGUUCACUGCUCUCUCACUAAAAAAAAUUCCUCCUUACAUCUGUUCUAAAAGGUUGCCCCUCAAUUUUUUGGCUGUGCCCUCUAGUUCUGGAUAUCGCCACCAUAGGAAACAUCCUUUCCAAAACUACCUUAUCUACUUUUUUCAACAAUUGAUAGAUUUCAAUGAGAUCUCCCCAUAUUCUUCUUAAUUCCAGUGAGUAUAGGCCCAAAGUUGCCAAACGUGCCUCAUAUGUUAACCCUUCAUUCCUGGAAUCACCCUUGUGAACAUCCUCUGGACUCUGUAAUGACAACACACCUUUCUAAGAUAAGGGUCCCAAAACUGCGAACAGUACUCCCAAGCGCAGCCUGACUAGUGUCUUAUAAAGCCUCAGCAUAAUCUCCUUGCUUUUAUAUUCUAUUCUCCAAUGUUGCAUUUGCAUUCUUUACCACAGACUCGAUCUUUAAAUUAACCUUCUUGGAGUCUUGCAUGUGGACUCCUAAAUCCCUUUGCACCUCUGAUGUUUGAGUUUUCUUCCCAUUUAGAUAACAGUCUGCCCUAUUGUUCCUUUUACCAAAAUGCAUGAUCAUACAUUUCCCAACACUGUAUUCCAUCUGCUACUUUUUUGCCACUUCUUCCAAUUUGUUGAAGUCUUACUGCAAACACAUUGCUUCCUCAGCACUGCCUGCCCCUCCACCUAUCUUCAUAUCAUCCGCAAAUGUUACCAAAUUCCAUUAUCUAACAAAGCCAUCGAUUCCAAUAUCUAAAUCAUUGACAAACAAUGUGAAAAGUAGUGGUCCCGCAAUACUGACCCCUGAGGAACACCACUAGUCACUGGCAGCCAGCCAGAAAAGGCCCCAUUUAUUCCCACUUGCUGCCUCCUAACUGUUGGCCAUUCCUCUAUCCAUGCCAAUAUCUUUCCUGUAAUGCCCCCUAGGCUUUUAUCUUAUUAAUCAGUCUCAUUUGGCACCUUAUCAAAUGCCUUCUGAAAAUCCAAGUAAAUGAAUCUGCCUCUCCUUUGUCCACCCUGCUUGUUACUUCCUUGCAGAACUCUUAACAAAUUUGUCAGGCAAGAUUUCCCUUUACAGAAACCAUGCUGACUUUACCUUAUUUUAUCAUCAGUCUUUAAGUAUCCCAAAACUUCAUCCUUAAUAAUUUAUUCCAACACAUUCCCAACCACUGAUGUUAGGCUAACUGGCCUAUAAUUUCCUUUUUUUUUUGCCUUCCUCCCUUCUUGAAGAGUGGAGUGAUAUUCACAAUUUUAUAGUCCUCCAGGACCAUGCCAGAAUCAAGUGAUUCUUGAAAGAUCAUGACCAAUGCAUCUGUCAUCUCUUCAGCAACCUCUUCCAGGACUCUGGGAUGUAGUCCAUCUGGUCCAGUCAAGAAAAAAGAAAAAUAAUGAAGAGAAAGACAAAACUUCAGAAAAACUGAAGAAGAAGAAAAAGCACAAGAAACGUGGAAAAAAGAAAAAAGUUUUCAGUUCGGAUUUGGAGUCAGCAUGAGAUGAG